CUUUAGUUUGAUACCCCGAAACCAGGUGAGCUACCCCGAGACAGCCUAUAUAACUUAGGGCUAACCCGUCUCUGUGGCAAAAGAGUGGGAAGAGCUCCGGGUAGAAGUGACAGACCUACCGAACCUGGUGAUAGCUGGUUGCCUGAGAAGUGGAUAGAAGUUCAGCCCCGUACACCCCAAACCAAAAACAUUCUUCUUAAGAUACUAAGAGAUACAUACGGGAGUUAGUUAAAGGGGGUACAGCCCCUCUAACAAAGGAUACAACCUUCGCAGGAGAAUAAAGAUCACAAUAUUCAAAACAUCCUGUUCUAGUGGGCCUAAAAGCAGCCACCUAUACAGAAAGCGUUAAAGCUCAGACAGAAGAAAGUUUAUUAUACCGAUAAAAAAUCUUAUUUCCCUAAAAAUAUCAGGCUAGUCCAUGCCAACAUGGAAGAAAUUAUGCUAAAAUGAGUAACAAGAAGACACGUUCUUCUCCAAGCACAAGUGUAAACCAGAUCGGACAAACCACUGGAAAUUAACGAACCCAAACAAAGAGGGCAGUGUGGACAAUAAAGAAACCAGGAAAACCCCACAAUCAAACCAUCGUUAACCCCACACUGGAGUGCAUAUUUAAAGGAAAGACUAAAAGAAAGGGAAGGAACUCGGCAAACCCAAGCCUCGCCUGUUUACCAAAAACAUCGCCUCCUGCAACUAUAUUAAGUAUAGGAGGUCCAGCCUGCCCAGUGACUACGGGUUCAACGGCCGCGGUAUUUUGACCGUGCAAAGGUAGCGCAAUCACUUGUCUUUUAAAUAGAGACCUGUAUGAAUGGCUAAACGAGGGCUUAACUGUCUCCCCCUUCUGGUCAGUGAAAUUGAUCUAUCCGUGCAGAAGCGGGUAUAAUUAUACAAGACGAGAAGACCCUUUGGAGCUUAAGGUACAAAAUUCAACCACGUUAAACAACUCAACAAAAAGCAAGAACUUAGUGGAAAAUGAAAUUUUACCUUCGGUUGGGGCGACCGCGGAGGAAAACCCAGCCUCCGAGUGGAAUGGGCCAAACCCCCUAAAACCAAGAGAGACAUCUCUAAGCCACAGAACAUCUGACCAAAAAUGAUCCGGCUUUAAUAGCCGAUCAACGAACCAAGUUACCCUAGGGAUAACAGCGCAAUCCUCUCCCAGAGUCCAUAUCGACGAGGGGGUUUACGACCUCGAUGUUGGAUCAGGACAUCCUAAUGGUGCAGCCG
rnacentral:rRNA from 1 species